CACUUGCGAAGUCAAACACGGCGCUGACUUUACUGGAGAGCCACGCAGGAGGCGAGAAUGGUCAAGGCAGGGAAGCUAUUCCGUGGAGAAACGGAUUCCUCUAUUUGUGUUUGUACUCGUAGCCAGAACUUCUCUCCGCCUGCACCGCCGGGGGGACAGAGAGCCGUGAAACAUGGGCAAAGAGGGUUAAAACCCUAGUAACAAAGCGAGCUCCGAGAGAGAGAGAGAGCUGUGGAGAGAGACACACCACAUGGCGCGGCACAUGCCGACGGAGGCCCACUCCCGCGCGAUCUUCUUCUUCUUCCUCCAUCAUGGAAAUGCUGGAGAGCGUGAGCCAUCAUUCUCCCCCCCGUCUUCUACGACGAUCUUACGACUGCCGGAGGCUGAGCAUGGAAGUCUUACGCUGCACUGUUCCCUCCACUCCCGAUUCCACACGUUUCUCCGAGUUGGAAGAGAGAGGACGUCUGCCCAGCCAGGAAAGGGAGAGAGAUGAUCGUCGGGAGACCCAGCCUUCUCUUAUUCUUGCAGACGGGUCGACGACCGAUAGCCCCAUCCUGCCUCUCGGCGCCGGGAAUUCAGUGCAUUGUGGUUGACUCUGACAUUAUCGGGGAUCUCAGCUUUCGAUCGAUUGCCCAUUUGCGGGCUUGUUUCGUAUGCUUUGAUAUCCUCAGAUCAAUGAGAGACGGUUGAGAUGACAC
rnacentral:lncRNA from 1 species